AAAAAAAAAAAAAAAAAAAAAGGAGAGUCAAAAGUGUUCUAUCCCAAGAUUUCACCAAUCUGUCCUGAUAGUCCAGUUCAAGAAUGAUCAUUUGGUCACUAUAGCUAACCCAUGGGACAUGAGAUCUCUUUAGGCUUGGUCUUUCCUGUCAAAAUCCCACUCCUGGUCAGCAGCCCCUUUCCAGUCCUUGGCUCUUGUAUUUAGGAGAAACAGCUUUGGCUCUCUCAUGUCACACACAGCUGCUUUUUAAUGAAAGUACAGGCUCAUACAUGGUACUCUUGUUUAAUGUCUGUGUUAAAUGGUUUGGUGUUUGUUUGUUUUUUUCCAUAAUUUUUCUAAAGAAUUAAAGAACUCACUUCCCUGCUCCUCACGUGUUGGCUUGUCCUGAGCCACGGGUUUUGAUUCUUGCAAUGUAUGUGCCUUAUUUUAUGUUUCUCUUGUCGAUGAGAAGGACCAGUUGUUGUUGUUGUCCAGUCAGCACUCAGAGGCUGCAUGCCCAGACAGUGUCACCAGGAAGUGAACACAGGACUGUGGCAGUCUGCGGUGUUGGGUGACCCGAUUUCCUGUGUUGUUUGAAGCUAAUAGGAGGGUGUUCUCCUCUGACAAGUUACGCUUGUAUAUCCUGCAGAUGUGUAAAAUAAACUGUGUUCCUUUUCGCCACCAUUUUUUAGAUUUUUUAAAGAAGAAAAUGUGUAAUCCUUUUUAAAGAACAACACAAUGUAAAUACAUUCAAGUAUUGUAGACGUAGAGUUGGGAUGUGAUGGCCUCGGGCCUUCCUUGGAAAAGCCUGUGGCUGCUCAGUGCUCCUAAGCCAUGAGAAUGGCAGCCCCAUGAACUCUGCCUUGGCUUUCAGAACCACUUAGUCCUUUUAUAACAAAGAAAAAAAUAAAUAAAUAAUAAAAAUGUUUCUUACAGUGUC
rnacentral:lncRNA from 1 species